GUCUACAUAAUAUCUACAUACUAAAAUUGGAAAAAUACAGAGAAGAUUAGCAUGGCCCAUGUGCAAAGAUGAUGUACAAAUUCGUGAAGCAUUGCAUAUUAAA
rfam:Myotis davidii contig102802, whole genome shotgun sequence.